UACGAAAUGUGCGAGCGUUGUUCGGAAUCACUGGGCAUAAAGGGUUCGUAGGUGGCCUUAUAAGUUGGUGGUGAAAUCCCCCGGCUCAACCGGGGAAUUGCUUCCAAUACUGUAAUGGCUUGAGUGCGAAAGGGGCAAGUGGAAUUCCAGGUGUAGCGGUGGAAUGCGUAGAUAUCUGGGAGAACGCCAAAGGCGAAGGCAGCUUGCUGGGUCGUAACUGACACUGAGGAACGAAAGCUAGGGGAGCAAACAGGAUUAGCUACCCUGGUAGUCCUAGCCGUAAACGAUGGGCACUGCACGGUGGGGGAGCUGAUUCCCUCAUUGUGGAAGCUAAUGCGUUAAGUGCCCCGCCUGGGGAGUAUGAUCGCAAGGUUAAA
rnacentral:rRNA from 1 species